AUGGCGGCGGAGAGUCCUAGAUCCGCACCACGGCGGACACCGGCCGCCAAGAGCGGCGCGGGCCUGCUCAGCCCCCGGUUCCGCUCGGCGGCGGAGCUGGCCGGCUGGGACGAGGAGUCCAUCCUCCUCGCGGCGCUCGUCGUCGAGGACACCCCGGUCCGCGAGUCGCGCCGCAAGAGGCGGCCCUCCGGCUCCUCUACCGCGGGCGGCAGCGCCGGAUCUAACACCAGGAAGCGGAGGUCGCGGCGGCAGUCGGCGGAUGAGACCCCGAUCCCGCCGGUUGCGCUUGUGCUCGACGACGACGAGAAGCCGAACGACCAUGAAGUUGGCACGAAGGAGGUAAAGCAGGCGGAGGAGGAGAAGGAGAAGGUUUCUGUCGUCGAGGGAAAGGAGAAGUCCGGAUCUGAAGCAGUGGCGAGUGGCGAGCUGCCGUGUAUGGAUCGGCUCAGGGAGGAACUGUCUUGCGCUAUUUGCUUGGACAUCUGCUAUCAGCCAAGUACCACGCCUUGUGGUCACAGCUUUUGCAUGCAAUGCUUAAAACAUGCCGCCUCUAAGUGUGGAAAGCGGUGCCCAAAAUGCCGUCAGUUAAUCAGUAAUUCAAGAUCUUGCACUAUCAACACGGUACUCUGGAACACCAUCCAACUCCUAUUUCCUAGCGAAGUAGAGGCGAGGAAGAGCUCCAUGGCCUCAUCCUCAGCAAGUAAGGACGAUGUGAAGCAAAGCCUGCCAAGAAGCAACAACUAUACAGAAGUUGGCAUUAGGAACACCAGUGGCAGUGGCAGUAGGAGCUUCAUCACACAGGACUACACUAGAAUAGGCAACAGCACCAGGAGCUCCUUAGCAGCAGGCAGCAGAAGAAGUAUGCCAGGCCCAGGAACCAUGAACACCAGCAGUGGGAGCUUUGACACACAGGGUAGGAGCACAAGAAGCAGAGACAGCGGCAGAGGCUUUGUUCGGGCGUCGCAGUUGGUUGCCACCAGGAGUUCAGCGCGGUCAGGCCAAUCUGAUGACGCUUCACUGGCAUACAGGUUGCAGCAGGAGGAGUUCAUGACGGCUUUCGAUAAUGAGGGGGGAGAGAGGCAGCCACAGAACACCAUAUCUACUGCCCGAGCAAAUUUGAGAGCUAUGGCUUCCCGGGCCGAGAGGGCAGUUCUCCUUCGUGCUCGCGGCUGGCCUCUUUAG
rnacentral:rRNA from 1 species